UGGUUUAGUCGGUUUAGUUUU
rnacentral:piRNA from 1 species